rnacentral:rRNA from 1 species
GAGAUGCGGGAGUGCCGCAAGGAACGACAAGACAGGUGCUGCAUGGCUGUCAUCAGCUCGUGUCGUGAGAUGUUGGGUUAAGUCCCGCAACGAGCGCAACCCUUGUCCCUAGUUGCCAGCACGUAAUGGUGGGAACUCUAGGGAGACUGCCGGUGACAAACCGGAGGAAGGUGGGGAUGACGUCAAGUCCUCAUGGCCCUUACGGCCAGGGCUACACACGUACUACAAUGGUCGGUACAGAGGGUUGCGAAGCCGCGAGGUGGAGCCAAUCCCAGAAAGCCGAUCCCAGUCCGGAUCGGAGUCUGCAACUCGACUCCGUGAAGUCGGAAUCGCUAGUAAUCGCGAAUCAGCUAUGUCGCGGUGAAUACGUUCCCGGGCCUUGUACACACCGCCCGUCACACCAUGGGAGUUGGCUGCACCAGAAGCAGGUAGUCUAACCGCAAGGAGGACGCCUACCACGGUGUGGUCAAUGACUGGGGUGAAGUCGUAACAAGGUAGCCGUA